GACUACUGGGGUAUCUAAUCCCGUUUGCUCCCCUGGCUUUCGCGCCUCAGCGUCAGUUGUCGUCCAGAAAGCCGCUUUCGCCACUGGUGUUCCUCCUAAUAUCUACGCAUUUCACCGCUACACUAGGAAUUCCGCUUUCCUCUCCGAUACUCUAGCAUCGUAGUUUCGGUCCCCUCACGGGGUUAAGCCCCGCACUUUUAAGACCGACUUACGACGCCGCCUGCGCGCCCUUUACGCCCAAUAAUUCCGGACAACGCUUGCCACCUACGUAUUACCGCGGCUGCUGGCACGUAGUUAGCCGUGGCUUUCUCUUACGGUACCGUCACUUACGACGGGUAUUGGCCGUCGUACCAUUCGUCCCGUAUAACAGAACUUUACAACCCGAAGGCCGUCAUCGUUCACGCGGCGUUGCUCCGUCAGACUUUCGUCCAUUGCGGAAGAUUCCCCACUGCAGCCCCCCGUAGG
rnacentral:rRNA from 1 species